AACACCGCUGGCGGCGUGCCUCAGACAUGCAAGUCGAACGCGAAAGCUCCCUUCGGGGAGCAAGUAGAGUGGCGCACGGGUGAGUAACACGUAGGUAAUCUACCUUUGGAUGGGGAAUAACACCGAGAAAUCGGUGCUAAUACCGCAUAAUGCAGCGGCACCUAAUGGUGACAGUUGUUAAAGCGGGGGAUCGCAAGACCUCGCGUCUAAAGAGGAGCCUGCGGCGGAUUAGCUAAUUGGUAGGGUAAUGGCCUACCAAGGCGACGAUCCGUAGCCGGCCUGAGAGGGCGGUCGGCCACACUGACACUGACAUACGGGUCAGACUCCUACGGGAGGCAGCAGUCGGGAAUUUUGGGCAAUGGGCGAAAGCCUGACCCAGCAACGCCGCGUGAAGGAUGAAAUCCCUCGGGAUGUAAACUUCGCAAGAACGGGAAGAAUAAGUCUGCGCGAAUAUCGCAGGCGAUGACGGUACCGUUUGUAAGCUCCGGCUAACUCCGUGCCAGCAGCCGCGGUAAUACGGGGGGAGCAAGCGUUGUUCGGAUUUACUGGGCGUAAAGGGCGCGUAGCGGCCACUGCAAGUCAAUUGUGAAAUCUCCGGGCUUAACUCGGAAAGGUCAACUGAUACUGCAGGGCUAGAGUGCGGAAGGGGCAACUGGAAUUCUCGGUGUAGCGGUGAAAUGCGUAAUAUCGAGAGGAACACCUGCGCGAAGGCG
rnacentral:rRNA from 1 species